CAGUGUUGCACAAAAAGAUUGAAUCCAGACGUACUGUCCAAAGCUAAUCACACAGUACCUUGCUCAUACAGGUAUCCAGAAAUUGAAGACCUUCGUGGUUCCUAGAAAUGUUUUGAAAGGGUCCAUCAUCCUCAGGACACUGUCUUUGGCGUGGAUGAGCAGGCACCGCCCGUUUGGAUGAAGCUGCAGCUUGUUGACGGGAAUGCCGCGGAGGUCACUCUCAUCGAUCUUCUGCCAAUUGACAACACAUAGCAUUUGAGGUUACAGAUAAAUAUUUCUCUAAAGUCUCAGGAUACAGUAUGUGAAAUGACCAAUACCUUCUCUAUACACCAGCGAUGACAUGGCUGCUGCCUACUGUCAUUCACUGCAGUUUUCCAGACAAUGAUGAGGCCUGUAUUGUCUGCAGAGAACAUUCUCAUCCCUGGUCACAUCAGAUAGAACAAAAGGAACAUCAGAUAACUGAAGGCACAUGAUAAAACUAAAGAUGCCAAGAAUCAUGCAACAAAUUUUGUAACAGUUUAAACACAAUUUAAAUAAGGAAAAUUAGAUUUUGUCCUGUAUUCCAGGAAGGAUCACAUGCAUGUGUCGAUUGAAAUUUGGAUGUGAUUAAAAGAUAUAAAGAAAAAUGUCAAUAGAACAGACCAAAAGAAAUCUAAAUCUAUCAAAAAUAACAAAGUUUAUAUUGGUCAUUGUUUCUAAAGUCAAGGUUGGUGGCAGGAGGCCGAUCUCGCAGUGGGUUAGAGGCCAGGUACACAGGCUGCUUAUCUUCCAAUAGAGCUUUCACACAUCUACACAGCGCACUGUGAACGUCUUACCUUCAGAGUCGAAACAAAUGGUGUUGAUGAAACUGCCGUGACCCUCAAACUCCUGCAGCAGCUGGCCAUUCACAUCGUCAACGUCGAGUCUCCACACUCGCACCAGACUGUCGUAGCCCCCGGUCACCACCAGGUUCUGGGCUGUGGGGUGGUACUGAGCACAGUAUAUGAAGGACGGGUGAGGGAGCACCUUCUGAGCCGCUCCCAGGAGCCUCUCCACAUUCCACUCUCUGACAGAAAUGAACAUCAUGCACAGAUUAAUUUGAAUGAAAAUGCAGUAAUGUGAUGAAACUCCACCUAGAGGCACAAGUAAAAAUUGCAAUUCAGUCACCAGCAGACAGAACUCA